AAAAACAUGUCGUCGCGUCGGUGAAAUUGUUCUCUUUUUAAAAUAAAGUUCUCUAGAACAAAAUAUUAUUCAAAAAGUCGCGAAUUGUGUCGAAAAAGUAUGUUCAUACGCGAGUUCAAUGGGUGCCGAUAAAAAUAAUUAGCUCGGAAUAGUCGGGUUCGUGGUCGCGACUUGCAAAUCCGGACGUCGUCGUUGAAAAGUAGUUUUUACCAGUCUCGUUCCACUCGCGCUUCAGCUUCAAAGAACCAGCUAAUCAGCCCACUUCAACACCCAGGAACGGUCAACUAAAAAUAAAAAAAAAUCGCUCCCAUAACUUUCGAUGGCUCCGCCUCAGAUUUUAUGCAUAUGCAAAGCGAUGUGCGCGUGCGGUGAGGUUUCAAACACCAUCGCUUGUGGGUCUGCUGAGUACUGCUGACGAUGGUUGGUGACUGUGUAGUGACUGUGACUGUUGUGUAGUGUACCAUUAGAGCCAGCAAACAUUAUCUUUACGGGAAUGCAACGAGAGCAAAUGUAGAUGACCAAGGUAAGCACGGUACCCCGUGCUGCUCGCAUUUCACCGGAGCGACUGGUCGGAGUUGUCGCCAUGAAACCAGCCAACAUCAUCUUCGAUACCAAGGUCCCAAGGUCAAGGGAAAGCAAAAGAACCAGGUCGAAUGCAAAAGAAAAAUCAAACAUUUUACCCGAGGAAAUCAGUUCGAUGGUGCAGAUAAAAACCGUUGUCUAUUUGGGCAAGACGGUGUCCAUUGUCCAAUGUCGGUGCAUAAUAGUGCAUAUUUCAAUUGCAAUAAUAUGAAGAGAAGAUCGCGAAAAAGUGUUUAAUGUUUAAGCACCUACGCCUACUGAAGGAGUGUUAUUAUUUGUAAAAUUAUAAUAGUGUAGUGUGUGCUCCGGGAAAACAACACAGGAUCGGAUUAUGUAUAUGUAUACCGUGUGUCCGAGGAAAAGAUAAUGUGAACAACCAGAUGCAGAAAGAUUUGGCCAAGCUGGGAAGCAAGUAUUAUCGACAGGCCAAGAGUGGAAGUAGAAGAUCAAAGUAAAAUGUUUUGGGGGGAGUGCUUGAGAAUUAUCGACUCAGUCAGAAGUAACUUCGUUCUAAAGUGACAAUAUACCCGACGUAGCUGGUAAACCUUGGAGCACCUUCAAACGAUUUACCAAAGGACAAAUUCGGAUGACAAGUCGUCUACGAGACCCAGAUCAUCGCUUAGGUCCAGUAGAAGAAAAGCGCCAGGUGCUCGGUAUAUCGGAAUACUUCGUCGUUGCCGCCGUCUUGGUAUUAAACGCGCAACACGGGUUUUCCGCAUGCACAAGAAACUAUCUCCGCUUAAUCCACAAGCUUGAAGUAAUUGACCAACUAUGAUAAUGCCAUCGAACUUAUUACCGUCAAAGAUAUACUGUCGUUCUCCUGGCAGAUCAGCUUUGGACUUACACUACAUAUGCACGAGAAUGAUGGCGAUCUGAAGAAGAGUAAGGUUCGUUCACCGAUGAAAUAGAUGACACCGGAAUCGCUUGCGAACCACAUCCUGUUCGUUUCUAUUGCUCGGAUGAUCCAAAACUGCGACCAUCGUACAAAUAUUCGGCUAUUCGAUUUGAAUAGAAGCUGGGUCGGUGCGGUGCGCACAGUAUGGAACAAAAUUUCACUUCAAAUCGGGUGCAUUGCAAUAAAAUACUAUGAAACCGUCAUGGAAAGUCUCUGGACACCGUCCCAUUGGUCCCAGUAUGUGCCGGCUAGCGAUAUCAACACCAUGGCACUACCGAAGGCCGAAGUGGCCUGUGUGGUAUAUAAGAGUCUUCUCCAUUCGGCUCGGUCCAUGGCUACACGUUGCCAACCACGC